rnacentral:rRNA from 1 species
UACGUAGGGUGCAAGCGUUGUCCGGAAUUAUUGGGCUUAAAGAGCUCGUAGGCGGUUUGUCGCGUCGGCUGUGAAAACUCGGGGCUCAACCCCGAGCCUGCAGUCGAUACGGGCAAACUAGAGUGUGGUAGGGGAGACUGGAAUUCCUGGUGUAGCGGUGAAAUGCGUUGAGAUCGUGAGGAACGCCCGCGGCGAAAGCGAGCGCCUGGACCCUUUCUGACGCUGAGACGCGAAAGCCAGGGGAGCGAACGGG